rnacentral:piRNA from 3 species
GGACUCUGAAUCCAGCGAUCCGAGUUCA